UGAGCAGACUAUGCGAUAGCGUGAACGCUUUAGUUCACGAGGAAAGUCCGAGCAUCAUAGAGCAGAGUAGCUGUUAACGACAGCCGAGGGCGACCUUAGGGCAAGUGCAACAGAAAUAUACCGCCAUGCAUUUUGCAUGGUAAGGGUGGAAAGGCGAGGUAAGAGCUCACCGGAGUACAGGUAACUGUACUGCCAUGUAAACCCUACCUGAUGUAACGUCUAUUGGUGCAAUUCAUCAUAACACUUGCUCGGUGGAUGAAUUGUAAUGACGGCUAGAGCCUUAUGGCGACAUAAGGCGUAGAUAAAUUAUCGCACACGACAGAACUCGGCUUAUCGGUCUGGUCACUAU
rnacentral:RNase_P_RNA from 1 species